rnacentral:rRNA from 1 species
UGAAGUGUGGACGCCAGUCUGCAUGGAGCCGGCCUUGAAAUACCACCCUUUAAUGUUUGAUGUUCUAACGUGGACCCGUGAUCCGGGUUGCGGACAGUGUCUGGUGGGUAGUUUGACUGGGGCGGUCUCCUCCUAAAGAGUAACGGAGGAGCACGAAGGUUGGCUAAUCCUGGUCGGACAUCAGGAGGUUAGUGCAAUGGCAUAAGCCAGCUUGACUGCGAGCGUGACGGCGCGAGCAGGUGCGAAAGCAGGUCAUAGUGAUCCGGUGGUUCUGAAUGGAAGGGCCAUCGCUCAACGGAUAAAAGGUACUCCGGGGAUAACAGGCUGAUACCGCCCAAGAGUUCAUAUCGACGGCGGUGUUUGGCACCUCGAUGUCGGCUCAUCACAUCCUGGGGCUGAAGUAGGUCCCAAGGGUAUGGCUGUUCGCCAUUUAAAGUGGUACGCGAGCUGGGUUUAGAACGUCGUGAGACAGUUCGGUCCCUAUCUGCCGUGGGCGCUGGAGAACUGAGGGGGGCUGCUCCUAGUACGAGAGGACCGGAGUGGACGCAUCACUGGUGUUCGGGUUGUCAUGCCAAUGGCACUGCCCGGUAGCUAAAUGCGGAAGAGAUAAGUGCUGAAAGCAUCUAAGCACGAAACUUGCCCCGAGAUGAGUUCUCCCUGACCCUUUAAGGGUCCUGAAGGAACGUUGAAGACGACGACGUUGAUAGGCCGGGUGUGUAAGCGCAGCGAUGCGUUGAGCUAACCGGUACUAAUGAACCGUGAGGCUUAACCUU